rfam:Pongo abelii chromosome 16.
GCUGGGUAUGGUGGCACAUGCCUGUGAUCCCAGCACGUUGGGAGGCUGAGGCAAGAGGAUCACUUGAGGCCGGGUGUCAAGACCAGCCUGGGUAACAUAGCGAGAUUCCGUCUCUAGAAAAAAAAAAUUUUUGAGACGGAGUCUCACUAUGUUGCCCAGGCUGGUCUUGACACCCGGCCUCAAGUGAUCCUCUUGCCUCAG